ensembl:lncRNA
CCCGUUUCCGUCCCUCCGGGCCGUGACGCGCAGCGCGGUUUGGAGGCAGAGCCGUGGCGCUGGGUGCGGGGCGCUGCCCCGUCGUAUCACCUCUGCGCACCUCUGUGGGUGCCCUCCUUCAGGGGGUCUGCAACAGGUGAAGUAUGGUAAAUUAGGGACCUUCACGGUGCUGUUUUAAAGCGAGUGAGAAAAUGAAGUUCCAUCUGAAGACGCCCUAAUACUACAGCUUCACCUUGCAAAAGGUCAUGAGAAAUUUACUGAAAUGCUAAAAAGCCAGCAGCAGAUCAUUGUAGAUUUACAGCAGAAACUUGCUGAACAGCAACAUGUAUUGGUUAGCCAGCAACGGGAGAUUCUUGAACAGCAAAGAAAAAUGUAUGAGCAAAUGGAUCUGAUCAAAGUGCAGUAUGGCAUGCUUUUUGACACAGUGAAACAAAUGUCAUUUCAGAGUUUGCAAGAAGAUAUUCAAAAUUAUUUUGAAAGUCAUCUUCAAGGACUUCAGAACCAGGUCAGGAAUCAUCUCCAGAAGUCAUACUCUGUACAUAAAGUAGAAGUGGAUGCAAAAGUGAUAAAUGUAGGGGAGUCUUUGCUGGACUGUGGUCUUUGUGAAAGUGAUGAAUUUUGCAAUUUCCAAAAGACACCUUCACAAUGUGAAAAAUGCACAUUGUGUCCUGCUGGUUUUUUCCAAAUGGCUGAUUGCUCUGCAAACUCUGAUCGGAUUUGCCAGGACAGAGAUGAAUGCACUGAAUCUCCAAGCAUUUGUGGCGAGAGAAUAAAAUGCCUGAAUACUCCAGGUGGCUUCCGAUGCCUUGGAAUUGCUGAGAAAGAUGCAGCUCUGGGAUUGUGUGGAGAAGAGUAUUUCUUUAAUAAGGAAAUGCAAGAAUGCCAAGCGUGUUUGAAAUGUGAAGAUGGAAUGGUGGCCAUGCCUUGUUCCACUGUUAGUGACACGGUUUGUUCAGCAACCAGUGAAAGCAAGCUAUCAGAAUCUUGGGCUGCAAACAUCAUUUUACCAUCUGUGAAGUCUGGCAUCUCUCAGGUCUACUCUGGCUUGAACUUGAAGAUAAGGGAAAAGCUCCACUGUGACAUCCUGUCCAUUGAAGAUCACAGCCUGAUAUUCAGGCAGCAUGGUCUUUUGUGGACUGACCUAAAUUUUGCAGUAAAACACAACUGCAGGAAUUUUUUGCAACUUUCCUUGAAGCUAAAUGGUAGUGAAGAAGGCUAUGAACUGAGUGGUGUUCGCAUUGAACAGCCAGAAGGAAAAUAUUUCCAGAGCACCAGUUUAAGCAGCGCUGCUGAGGUGGAGCCCAGCCAAACUCUUUCUGUGUUUUUGAGGAGCCCAAACCAAUUCUGCAAUCAGAGUAAAGACUUACAUAUUUAUGAUCUUAAUAGCCCACUAAGUCUGUUCUGGUUGUCUCAUGACACGGGUGCUGUGGCAAUCAGUGCACACAUGUCAACAGCAAUGCAUUACCAAACCAACUAUCGACCUACAUUUAAAAUAGUUUCUGUUUCCGACCCUUACAUGCUAAGUUUAUCUCAUGAUGGCAGAGCUAUAAAAUUCACUGAAACAGGUGUUGUCAAAUUUGUGUUGCACCAAGCAUUGUAUUCUAUGGGUCACACUUGUGUCCGGGAGGGUUUCUCCUUAAUUUCUUAUAUAAAUAGGAAUGGUACCAACAGAGAAUUAAUGAAUGUAUUUAAAUCUGGGGUAAAUUACAGAGAUACAUCAAUAUCUGCUUCUGGAGCCACAAAAGUUGCUGCUGGAGAUCUGAUUAGCUUUGAGAUACUCUCUCCUGCACAAUGUAAUGUUCGGUAUUUCGGAGAUAGUUCUGGGAUUAGUAUGUUUAGCCUUAUCUGGAUACCUUCAGCAGUUUCUAGUGCCAUAUCAGCCACAGUUUCUGUUACAGGACUGCCUACUGGAGCUGUGAGAAACAAAUUACUGGAUUUCACCCAGAUCUCAUCCAAUGAGAAACAGAUACAGCUGGUUUCUUCUGGACAGCUUGCUCAGAAGUACUUCAUUUUUACGGAAAAGGGAGUUGCCAGUCUUGCAUUUAACUUAAAGCUAAUCCAUUCAUGCAGUGUGCUCAAAGUGACUCUCAACCAGUUGACCAUGGAUCACAUGCAACCCACCAUAAUUGCUCAGCAGAUUGGAGGGCAGAUGCCAGAGGGAAGCAUAUGGACCAGUGUGACCCUCCGUGCAUCUUUUGAAGUACAUAAUGGAACGCUGAUAUCAGUUUCUCUUGACUGUGUACGUGGAAGGAUCAAUCAGAUCACUCAUGAACAUGGAACCAGUAUAUCUAUUUUAUGGAUUUCAUCUUAAUUUCUGUACAGUGAAAAUAGCACAGAACUGGGGUUUAAAUUGGAUUUGGAUUCUACUCUGAUUCUUUGUCUGUAUUUGACACCUUACAGUGUGUCAAUGUGAACAUAUUGUCCCACUAAAGUGCUCUCAAAUUUAGGAAUAUUUAAAUAUAAUCUUAAUUAAAUGAUCAGUAUUUAAAGAAAGAGAGCUUUCAGAAUUCCAAGAUAAGAUAGUACUGCUGUUAACAUAAUCAGGCAAGGGAUCUAUGGAUUCAACUCAAAACUAUUUUUUUACAAUGCAGUCUCUUGAAAUUAAUUAUUUCUGGACCACAGAAAAUUGCAGGUGAGAGUAAAAACAUAUCUUUUGGUACUGGAACUGAAAGCAGCGCAGCCAAGUAAUGGAAGUCUGCUUUCACUUUCUUCUGCCAACAAGACUAAAUGCACUCGGAGGCAAAUUUGUUUACAUCUUAUAAAAUGUUGUGCUCAAUCUUUAAGUGCCUUAAGCAUGCCUCAAAGUAGAAAUGGUAAUACGGUAACAUUGAAUUAUACUUGCACAAUAUCGUAAAAAUGGACCUCAGUCAAAAAUAGAACAUUGUUUUUACAAAACAUAAUGACUGUUCUCAUCAUGAACGUUGUAACUAAUGAUCUUUCUAAUUUAAUUUUGAAAUAAUCUGCUUUUAAGUAAUUUGGGAAGACUUGUUCCCAUUUUAAGUUGUGGCGAGUGAAUGGUUGCAUGAUGAGAAGGAAGGAAGUAUUAGAAACAUGUCUUGAAAGUCAAGCUUUAAAAGGAAACAGACUUUUAUUCAGUUUCUUACCAAUUGUGUGUUCUUUUUAUGACCAAAAGGGGACACCUUUCACAAGCAUGCUUAUUUUGCUGAACUGGUGCUUAAUUUUAGAAGUUCUUUUUUAGUUAAAUCACUCAAUUAAUUCUAAAAUGAAAUUAUGUAUUCAAUGACACUGAUUAUUGUCUUCUUCCAACUCUUCUGUCAAACUGCUCUUUCUGAUCUGUGUUUCUCUCCUUUCUUCUCCUGAAGCAUCACUACUGCUUCACUCUGUUCUUAUUUUGUUAGGAACAAACAGCAUGCUCUGUCAUGUAGCUCGACUCCUUCCACCUAUCCUUCACCAGCCCUACUAAAGAACAGGUGUGUAUGUGUGUCACAUAUAUAAGAGGAACUUUAAUAAGACAGCUGCAAACUGCCUACCAUCAACCUAUUUGAAAGUGAGACUACUAUGCAUGAUAUGACUUUACUGUGGGUGUCUGUCUGAGCACAUGUAUCCUAAAUGCAUGCACUUUUCUGUGCUCUUCACCUGUUCUGUUUUUUGUUUGUUUGUUUUGGUUUGGUUUGUUUUUUUUUGUAAAAGCGUGAACACAAAUGCAGGAGUUCCAUCUGGUGCUUCCAUUUUUACUUGUAAUUUUCUAAUCAUGUCAUUAUCACUUGUGGUUACCUUUCCCUCAUCCUUUCUUCAGGUUUGAACUCAGAGAUACGCAGACUUUGGACAAAUUGUUCUCCUGCACCAAGCAGAAUGCUAGUAUUUCUUGUUUCAGCUCUUAAGUAAGUCUGAGCAACCCAUUGCAAUAUACCUCACUGGAUGCUGUGUUGAGGCCAACACAACCACAGUAAGUUCAGUCCUGGCAUCAUAUCUUCUCUAACAAACUCACCUCUACAAAGAGGUGGUUUUGUGAGGAGAGUGUCAAAGGCCUUCUUUCCCUCAGAAGCAGACAGCUCACUGCUGUAUCAGGAUGUCUGUGCUGCAAGAGAAGCUCUGCAGAGAGCAGACCUGGGUAUUUCUGCAGUGAAACUGCAGGGAAGUCAAUGUUGGAGAAGGCUUGAGAUAGGAUUCUUAUGUUUUCACUUGACGGAAAGUCAAGAAAAUAAUUUUCUCAUGGACAUAACCCCUUAUUUUUCUUGUCUGCUUUACUGUAUGCAGUUGUUUUAGAGGCUGUCAGCCCCAUUAAAAUGAUAGCUUAAGAGUAAUUCUGGAUUUAAACCUGUGUAGCAGAUAAUCAGAAUCUAAUGUAGGAUGUAAUCUAAUACAUCUUCAGCAAAGUGCAGAUGUUACUUGAAUAAAAUAAGCAUUUGCCUUUAUGUAGCAUAUAGCACAUCUAACAGAAUGAUUUGUAUGUGUAUAUUUUACGUGAGUUUGUAAUACCGGUGGAAUUGCUUGAAUAUGGAGAAGACUAAUGCUUAAAUCCUGUACUGUGCACACAGUGAUGGCACUUCCAUUUAAAUGUGCCAUUAUUAAAGGAUGCAGAAGCUACCAGGGAGCUACAAGUGAGCAUUAUUACAGCUAAGGGAGAUUUCAGAGUGUGAAAUUGUAAAUACAGUAUAUCUUUUCUGAAGAUUCUUGGGGGAGUGCCCAUAAUUGCCCUCAAGUUAAGAGUAGAUUUUUAGAUACAUGGGGCAGAAAUGUGGUAUUUUGCGGCCGUCUGGUAAUGGUAAUGAUGGUAAUGUAUUUCACAUGGUUUUGCUAUUGUCAUCUGUGAUAUUCAUAUGAUGAACAGCAACAAAAAUUCUUCUAAAUACAAACUAUUAACUGCAACUUGCAGCAAGCUUAGCCCUACUUCAGUCAAGAAAUUUGAGCCUGUUUUCAUCACUAUCUUUAAAAAAAAUACAGCCUAAAUUAAGAGUUCAGCCCACUUAGUUACAGGAAUGUGAAUUUGGAGUAAGUGUGUUGGAGUCAGCUUGGAUUUAUGGUAGUAUAACUAACAGUGUAGCAUAUAGCCUUUGCCUCUAUGAAAAUGAUAUAUAUUACCUCAUUCCGUGCAACAUUAAGUGGUGCACUGCAGUCCUACAUAAGAUAAAGUUCAAAAGCAAUCAAACAAUGUACGAUGAAUACUAAUUUUAUGGCACUUAUCCCAUUUGCUGUAAUUAAUUGCAUGCUUUAUUCUUGACAGAUAUACCCUAUCAAUUAUAUUUACAACUUAGGAACUUUUUAUUUCAAGUUUUUAUAUGGUUUCUUUCUUUUAGUAGCAUAAUAUAAUGCUGUGAAGUACAGAAUUCAUUAAAAUGUUUUUUUCUUUUCCAUCUUUUGAUACCACGUUCAUGAAUACUCUUAAAAACUUGGGAGACUGUCUCCAAACCUUGUUUCUAAUGGGGACACUCAAAGUCUUGUAGAGUAAGUGCAAGUACAGAGGCUAGUGAAGUCUGUACAGAAAGAGUGAAAGUUAAUACAUCUAUGUAGAUCACUCCAAAAGUAAUGCCUCCUAUUUAUUUCCAUGGAAACUACAACUGAUACAAAGAGCACAGUAAUACUGUUUGAUAGAACAAAUUCUAAGCUACAAAACAGGUAUCUUUCAACACUGUCACCACUAUUAGCCACAUGUUUUGCCAGUGAUGAACAAGAGCCUGCACGCUGUGCUUGUCAAAAUCUGCACCAGUGGAGGUGACCCACUGUCACCACUGCUGAAACACACCACCCACCCCAUCACCAUGCCCACAUCCACUGCUAGGGCUCCGUAAAUGUUCAGCAAGUCAAUGAAUUUCAGUAGGUGCAGUUUGUUCCACAUGGAUGUGUACAACGACACACCUUUGUUUGAUCUGCACUUCCAUGUCAGAUACCAUUCUGUCAGACUGCCCCUCUGCUGCUGUCUGUCAUGGCAAAAAAUAAUGGGAUGUUGGUGGGAAGGUUCAACCUCUACUGCCAUACCACCAACAUCCACCUCUGAGAGCAUGGGUCAAGAUAAUAAGAUAGGAAGCAUUACUUUCAAAGCAGCCUUCACAGAAAGGUGAAUGUUUUACUUAUGCAGACAAUGGGAAAUGUUGUGGAAAAUGUGACUAUUACAGGAGGAGAAUAAUUUAGGUUGUGUAGUGCUGCUCACAUAAGAGGAAAAAGGAUCUGCCUUACAAAAACCAGCAUCACUUAAUAUCAACCAUUUUGCAAUUUGAGAGAGUUUGCCUGGAUAUAUUUUAUUACCUGUACACUUCUGUGCUUUCUGAAGUCAAAACUGGGUAGAAUGCAUCAACUAUUUUAAUAUUUUGGAUCAUUCCCUUUGUUCUGUGGUCUGUGCAGAUGGCAGUACACUGUGAAAAUGACACUAGUUUCAAGUGGUGCUUUUUAAUAAAAUUUCCUACUUUGAAAUAGUACCUUGUGUUUAAAAAUACCAUUUAGACACUUCUGUUAAUAUUAUAUUGUAAUACGUUUUAAGAGAACUUUGCUGAAAUAAAUACAACAAAAAAGCUCUAUUGAUGCCAUUGAAGAUUUUACCACCGCCUCUUUUGGAGACAGAUUCCCAUGUUACCUGAGUUAAUGACCUGUGCUUGUUGAAGUAAAGUUAAACAAGAAAGCGAAAGUGAGGGGAAAUGGAGAUAGAGGGCAUGAAAAAUGGGAGAAAGAA